rnacentral:rRNA from 1 species
UACGGUAGGGUGCAAGCGUUAAUCGGAAUUACUGGGCGUAAAGCGUGCGCAGGCGGUUUUGUAAAGUCCUGUCGUGAAAUCCCCGGGCUCAACCUGGGAAUGGCGAUGGAGACUGCAAGGCUAGAGUUUGGCAGAGGGGGGGUAGAAUUCCACGUGUAGCAGUGAAAUGCGUAGAUAUGUGGAGGAACACCGAUGGCGAAGGCAGCCCCCUGGGUCAACACUGACGCUCAGGCACGAAAGCGUGGGGAGCAAACAGG